UUAAUAUCCUGUCUAGGAAGGACAUAACUGUUAUUUGGUGCUUUUCUGUGCUUUCUCUCUUCUUGUGGCUCUCAUACUACAGAGGUUAGAACAGCAUACUUGGCAAAUACCAUAUGUUCUUGUGUGGUAAUCUCCUUUACCACCUUUUACUCCUGUGCUAUUGAGAGGCGGCUUCCAGCCGGGCUGUGCCCAGUGGGCUGCCUUGGCCUAGCUCAGUGGGGCUCAGCACAGCGGCCAAAUUCCCAAACAGCUCCCAGCUGCAGGCAACCUAAACAAACUUAAGUGAUUUCAGCUCUUAGUGAUUAUCAACUCUAAGUGAUUUCAGCUCUUUAGCUGCUGGUGCCAUAGCAGAUGCAGGGAGAGAGAGGAUAAGGCUUUGUGAGGUUCCAAAGAAUCCUUUAUUGGUCCAUGAAGGUUCUCAGUGACAGCUCUUCUGCCAAACCAGGCAGAAGUAGGGGUUUAUACAACCUACAGGGGUUUUGGAAAUUGUCCAAUAGUAAGGGUGAGGGGAAAGUGACCUAUAGGAUUACAGAGAGAUAAGCAGGGUCGGAAAGGUGGAAGAGAGGGGCUUCUAAGGCCCUGUCAUCGUGACUUGGCAUUUCCUAGCUCAGGCUUCUGACUCCAAGGAGGCCUUGCAGGCCCUGGGCCUGCUACAUCUGUGCAACAUUGUUAGACUGCAGAAAUGCAUUUCAAAGGGCAAACUAGAAAAAUAUUGAUAUCACAGAGCCUUCUUCUGAUACUAUUCCUUAAUCUGCUACUUCAUCUAUCUUGGACAAUCCUUAGAUAUCCAUUUUCCAUACUUGCUUUAGUUUCCAGAAACCCUUGAGACCAUUACAUUAACAUGCAUAAUUGGAUUGUGAUCUUUUAUGUUUGCAAUUCACUGUGCAUUCUUCCAGAGCUCUCUUCUCAAGAAGCAUCUCUCCAGAUGUGAUGAGUUUUCUGGGAAGCUGGUGGGACCUGCAGCAGUUUGUCACAGCCAUGGUCCAGGCUGUGCCAAUAAUUACCUUCAGAAUAAACCCAGCCUCCUUCCAGAACCCAUGAAGAAUUCCUAUUGUAUUAUAUGGAGUCUUCAAGACAUUUUUAUCCUCAAAGCCUCUCUGAUUACAAUGGUUCCUCAUAAAGACACUGAAGUCACAAUUCCAGACUAAUUCAUCUUUGCAUAUUCUGGAAACUAAAAAAUAAUUCUCUUGCACAAGUAAGGCUGGAGGAAUUUCUUUCCUUUCAAACACUCUGAAUAAAAUGCGUUAAUAUACCAUA